rnacentral:rRNA from 1 species
GAUGAACGCUGGCGGCGUGUCUAAUACAUGCAAGUCGAGCGAACGGACGAGAAGCUUGCUUCUCUGAUGUUAGCGGCGGACGGGUGAGUAACACGUGGAUAACCUACCUAUAAGACUGGGAUAACUUCGGGAAACCGGAGCUAAUACCGGAUAAUAUUUUGAACCGCAUGGUUCAAAAGUGAAAGACGGUCUUGCUGUCACUUAUAGAUGGAUCCGCGCUGCAUUAGCUAGUUGGUAAGGUAACGGCUUACCAAGGCAACGAUGCAUAGCCGACCUGAGAGGGUGAUCGGCCACACUGGAACUGAGACACGGUCCAGACUCCUACGGGAGGCAGCAGUAGGGAAUCUUCCGCAAUGGGCGAAAGCCUGACGGAGCAACGCCGCGUGAGUGAUGAAGGUCUUCGUAUCGUAAAACUCUGUUAUUAGGGAAGAACAUAUGUGUAAGUAACUGUGCACAUCUUGACGGUACCUAAUCAGAAAGCCACGGCUAACUACGUG